rnacentral:tRNA from 1 species
UGUUCUCUUGCGAAGUUGGUUAACGCACCCUGUCUAACGAUUUGUACAGACGUGGGUUCAAAUCCCACCAGAACUA